AUUAUCUCUAAUUACAAUGGUCAGAAUUGGAUAACAUCUUCGAAUAUACUCUGCCUGUUCGACCAGAUCUAGAUUCUGGAUUUCAUCCGCGCCACAGAAAGAAACAAUGAUAAAAUUGAACUAUGGCCAAUUCUCCGGGGUGAUCCAACUGAUAAAAGUCGUGCGCCAUCAAAUGAUUUGACUUUUUGCGAGAAUUUGCCGGGCAAACAGUUUUUCACUAUCGUUCUGUCACGCAAACCCAACAUUUUCUCGUCUGAGGACAUUGGAAGUGUACACGCAAUAUUACGGAACCGCGGUUUGCAAACGGUUUCAGUACAAAAUGGAUCUACAUCGAUGCAUAGCAUAUCGAUUGCAUCUCUUUUCAUCACAGCCGCUGUUGCAUAUGUUCUUAUACAUUUUUAGAAUUCCUGUUAGCAAUUACUUUAAG